GUAGGUGGCGAGCGUUGUCCGGAAUUACUGGGUGUAAAGGGCGUGUAGGCGGGAAUGCAAGUCAGAUGUGAAAUGCCGAGGCUUAACCUCGGAGCUGCAUCUGAAACUGUGUUUCUUGAGUGUCGGAGAGGAAAGUGGAAUUCCCAGUGUAGCGGUGAAAUGCGUAGAUAUUGGGAGGAACACCAGUGGCGAAGGCGACUUUCUGGACGAUAACUGACGCUGAGGCGCGAAAGCGUGGGGAGCAAACAGGAUUAGAUACCCUGGUAGUCCACGCCGUAAACGAUGGAUACUAGGUGUAGGAGGUAUCGACCCCUUCUGUGCCGCAGUUAACACAAUAAGUAUCCCACCUGGGGAGUACGGCCGCAAGGUUG
rnacentral:rRNA from 1 species